GGCCGUUUAGUUUUUUUUCUUGGGGUGAGAGCCGGGAUAGUUUGGGGACGAUGGUUAGGCCGGAGUUCCGGAAACUUUCCCUUCCGCUCUUUCCUUCUUUCGUUUUGUGUUUAGACGAGUACUCUUUUUCCUUUUCACGGUUUUUCCCACUGGGUUUUCCGUGAAAAGGUUUUAAUGAGGUUCGGCCAUUAGUCUGCUCCUUCUGUGCUUUCAAGGGUUUUUU
rnacentral:lncRNA from 1 species